UCUUAGCAUUUGGCAUCCUCAGACAAGCUGUUUAUGGCUAACUGCUCAUGUGAGGCGAACUGUGCUGAGGAUAACAACCUGCUGUAACGGAGGAAGAAGACCAAAAGUCAACUUCACCUCCCAUCUGGAAAGCAUCGACUCUCUUUUACAAAACAUUACUAUUAAACCUAAGAGAUUGGAUUUGAAAGAUAUUAUUUUAGUCCUUCUCUAUCUGCAAAACAUGGAAGAUUUCUCAGCUACUAACUCAGCAUAUGUGACCAUGUCCAACCUCUGCCUGCCUGCAAGAGUAUGUGUGGAAACUGUGUUACCAGAAAAAGUAAUUUUCCCAAUAGAUUGCCUUAUCUACCAAAGUAGCAUAAAGAUUGGUGAUGGUCUCUGUCAACCCAAAGAGAUCCUGUAUGUUCAGAUUAUUUCUCCCUGGGCACCUGCUAGCAUUGGAUCAUGCAGUCAGUCUAUCAAGUUUCUUGAGGCCAUCCACAUUGCUUGGCUCAGGGACCCAUUCCUCCAUCUCCAUCCAGCAACAUCAAGCUAAGACCUCACAUCUGGAUUUCUCUCCUCUGCAAUUAUAAGGAUGCAUGUAACUACACUGGUCCCACCUGGAGAUUCAGGAUAAUCUCCCCU